GCAAACUUGGUCAUUUAGAGGAAGUAAAAGUCGUAACAAGGUUUCCGUAGGUGAACCUGCGGAAGGAUCAUUAAAGUAUUCUUCGGUGCAGCCAGCGCUUCCACAGCGCGGCAGCCCAAACCUUACACACUGUGAUUAGUUUUUUUACUAUUUGCUUUGGCUGCGCAAGUGGCCAAAGGUCUUAAACACAAAGAUUUAUAUCUUUUUUUACAAAAUUCAGUCAAUGAAGUUUUAAUACUAUAAUCUUCAAAACUUUCAACAACGGAUCUCUUGGUUCUCGCAUCGAUGAAGAACGCAGC
rnacentral:misc_RNA from 1 species